UACGUAGGGGGCAAGCGUUGUCCGGAAUCAUUGGGCGUAAAGAGCGUGUAGGCGGCCCGGUAAGUCCGCUGUGAAAGUCGAGGGCUCAACCCUCGAAUGCCGGCGGAUACUGUCGGGCUAGAGUCUGGAAGGGGCGAGUGGAAUUCCUGGUGUAGCGGUGAAAUGCGCAGAUAUCAGGAGGAACACCUACGGCGAAGGCAGCUCGCUGGGACGGUACUGACGCUGAGACGCGAAAGCGUGGGGAGCAAACAGG
rnacentral:rRNA from 1 species